UUAGUACUCCCUCCGUCCGGAAAUACUUGUCUGAGAAAUGGAUAAAAAUGGAUGUAUCUAAAAUUAAAAUACGUCUAGAUACAUCUAUUCCUCUGACAAGUAUUUUUGGACGGAGGGAGUACUGA
rfam:Triticum aestivum genome assembly, contig: Triticum_aestivum_CS42_TGACv1_scaffold_423243_5BS